rnacentral:sRNA from 1 species
CUUUCUUUUAUUUCUGUUGUGUUCUUUUAUGUUAUUUGCUUGUUUGGGAGGGGUUGUGUUUAAGUUUAAAUCUUGUAGCACAGGCCAGCUGGAUUUAGGAUGGACUCUAGCUUCUGUGUACCAAAGUCGUCCUGUUGAGGGGUUUGGGAAGAUACUCCCCAGUCAUCAAACACAGUCCCUCAGAGCAAGUCACGUUGUCAUUUACCUGCAUUUGCAGAGCUCCCUAGGGCCGUGACUGAGACCUGUCCUUCCUGUCUUUUUCAGAUUGUGGGCUGCACACUGCAGGAAGAUUCAGCUGAAGAAAGAUAACUCUUCCACACAAGUGUACAACUACCAACCCUGCG